GGACGAACGGCUGGCGGCGUGCCUAAUACAUGCAAGUCGAACGGCGUUUUCUAUGGAAGCUUGCUUCCACUGAGAAGAUAGUGGCGAACGGGUGAGUAACACGUGGGAACCUGCCCAUAAGAGGGGGAUAACAUCCGGAAACGGGUGCUAAUACCGCAUAGUUUUCUUGAUCGCAUGAUUGAGAAAGGAAAGACGGCCUUUGUGCUGUCGCUUAUGGAUGGACCCGCGGCGUAGUUAGUUAGUUGGUGAGGUAACGGCUCACCAAGACGAUGAUACGUAGCCGACCUGAGAGGUGAUCGGCCACAUUCGGGACUGAGACACGGCCCAAACUCCUACGGGAGGCAGCAGUAGGGAAUCUUCCGCAAUGGACGAAAGUCUGACGGAGCAACGCCGCGUGAGUGAAGAAAGGGUUUUCGGAUCGUAAAACUCUGUUGUCAGAGAAGAACAAGUUGGAGAGUAACUGCUCCAGCCUUGACGGUAUCUGACCAGAAAGCCACGGCUAACUACGUGCCAGCCGCUGC
rnacentral:rRNA from 1 species